UGUCGUGGGGGAUAACACAGCGAAAGCUGUGCUAAUACCGCAUACGACCUGAGGGUGAAAGCGGGGGAUCGCAAGACCUCGCGCGAUAGGAGCGGCCGAUAUCGGAUUAGCUUGUUGGUGAGGUAAAGGCUCACCAAGGCGACGAUCCGUAGCUGGUCUGAGAGGACGACCAGCCACACUGGAACUGAGACACGGUCCAGACUCCUACGGGAGGCAGCAGUGGGGAAUUUUGGACAAUGGGGGCAACCCUGAUCCAGCCAUUCCGCGUGAGUGAAGAAGGCCUUCGGGUUGUAAAGCUCUUUCAGCAGGAACGAAACGGUGGCUACUAAUACUAGCUACUAAUGACGGUACCUGAAGAAGAAGCGCCGGCUAGCUACGUGCCAGCAGCCGCGGUAAUACGUAGGGUGCGAGCGUUAAUCGGAAUUACUGGGCGUAAAGCGUGCGCAGGCGGUUAUGUAAGACAGGUGUGAAAUCCCCGGGCUUAACCUGGGAACUGCGCUUGUGACUGCAUAACUCGAGUGUGGCAGAGGGGGGUGGAAUUCCACGUGUAGCAGUGGAAUGCGUAGAGAUGUGGAGGAACACCGAUGGCGAAGGCAGCCCCCUGGGUCAACACUGACGCUCAUGCACGAAAGCGUGGGGAGCAAACAGGAUUAGAUACCCUGGUAGUCCACGCCCUAAACGAUGCGAACUAGGUGUUGGGGAAGGAGACUUUCUUAGUACCGCAGCUAACGCGUGAAGUUCGCCGCCUGGGGAGUACGGUCGCAAGAUUAAAACUCAAAGGAAUUGACGGGGACCCGCACAAGCGGUGGAUGAUGUGGAUUAAUUCGAUGCAACGCGAAAAACCUUACCUACCCUUGACAUGUCAGUAAGUCCGCUGAGAGGUGGAUGUGCUCGAAAGAGAACCUGAACACAGGUGCUGCAUGGCUGUCGUCAGCUCGUGUCGUGAGAUGUUGGGUUAAGUCCCGCAACGAGCGCAACCCUUGUCAUUAAUUGCCAUCAUUCAGUUGGGCACUUUAAUGAGACUGCCGGUGACAAACCGGAGGAAGGUGGGGAUGACGUCAAGUCCUCAUGGCCCUUAUGGGUAGGGCUUCACACGUCAUACAAUGGUCGGUACAGAGGGUCGCCAACCCGCGAGGGGGAGCCAAUCCCACAAAGCCGAUCGUAGUCCGGAUCGCAGUCUGCAACUCGACUGCGUGAAGUCGGAAUCGCUAGUAAUCGUGGAUCAGCAUGUCACGGUGAAUACGUUGA
rnacentral:rRNA from 1 species